UUAAGUCUGACCAUGGUUCUGAAUCCUUCUGUGCCAUUUGGCAAGAGACCAAAAAUACCUUCACCUUUAAUCUUGCAAGAGAAGGACCUCAGGUCUCAGGGCGACAAUACUCACGUCACCACUGCAAAAGUUACAAGGCACGGCUACACAAAGUUUAAACAGGCUAUUUGCGGUCAAAGAGAGAUAUUUAUAGCCGGUGUGUGCUCUACAAGAUCAUAAUCGGAUAACAAUCUUUUGAGAGGAACAAGCCAGCCACUGAACAAAUACUAUUGAAUUGGGUGAAAUUCUUAACGCUUCAGCAUAAUCGUUAACCCUCUGUUACGCAACAACUACCCAGCUGCUGGAGCAAUGAGCAAUCCACUUAUAGUGGGAAGAUUAAAGAAGAUAAUCAAAGAAAUGAAUAGUAGAGAUUGUUCGAUAGAAUAAGAAGCAAGAAUAUAUCCCCGUAACAUGUGCAGGGGAGGUUUGAAAGUAAGAGUAUAAUUUUUGCGCUUGGAAGUUUCUUUUCAUGUCUGAAACUAUAUUUUUUUUAAUUGUUCAUGCAAUUGAAUCGGUUUUCCAAAAAUUAUCAGUUUACAUCAUCACUCAGUUUAAUAUCAAAUACAAAGCUUGGGUUGCCAAAAUCAUAGAAUAAAGAGUAAGCUUUAUAUAUAAAAAUAUAUAUAUAUAUAUAUAUAUACCUGAACAUGAAAUUUUACAUUACAUAUUUAUUCGUUUUCUUAUCCUAUCCACGAGAAAUCACUCAUGCAUAGGCUUUAUAAUUCACACAUGCAUAUACAUAUUAUCUCUUCUCACACUCACUAUAAGACUCAACCGCAAAACAAAAAUAUUUUCUCUCAUUUUGUUAAGUAAAAAUUAAUUACUUAAAAUUCAUUUUAACAUUGGUUUUAUAAUUAAUUAAAGAGUUAUUAACUAGACUUAUUUUCUGUAAGUUCUUAGUAUGUCUUUCUCCCUGUUUUUACUUGAAAAAAAUCUUAGAUAAGAAAUAUAUUACAUAUACUCUCUAAUGUUUAUUAUCGGAACAAUUUUGUUGCCUUCUAACCUAUAUAAACUAAAAAUAGGGUUACAAAGGUGGCAUAUAUAGUUCGGUCGCUGCAUUUCUGGGGAGCAUAUAGCCACAUAAAUCUUACUAAUAUGCUGAUAAAAAUUCCUCUUACCAACGUUACUAACACAUAAAUCUCUUCUGUAAGCUAUACUAAUCCAAAACACUAUACAUAUGGUGGAACCAAAAACAUUUUGUAUCGGGUCAGAAUUUUUUUAUGGGGUCCAAAUUUGUUUUUUAUAGGGUUAAAAUAAUUUUUAUUUAACAAAAAUAAAUAAAAAUUUUAAAAUUGUGGGAUCAGCUAACCUCACUCUCCGUACGUUGCCUCCGCCCUUCAAGAUAAAUUUCUCAACUAAAACACCAAAAUUUAAUUAUUAUUGUAUUUCAUUUCCUAAAACUUUUGGCCAUUCAAAUAUAUAAUUAUGUUUUUGACUUCAUUUAACUAUUCAGGGAGAUGGUCCAUCCGUAAACCGUACCUCUUUUUAGAGAUUAAUCUAGAAAUUUCUAUAAAUAUGGGAUAUCCUAAGAUUGAUAAAAAAAACAUGUUUGAUUUUCUUUAAUCAACAGAAAAGUAAACAAAAAUUAGAAGGAGUAGAUAUAAGAAAAUAGAAACGAAUAAAAAAGAUAUGGUCAGAUAAAAUGCGUCAUUUUAUUUAUUUUAAUAAUAUACCUAUUAGUAUGAUAUUGUGUAUAUACUUAAAGUAUUAAUUUUAAAAGAAAUAAAUAAAAUUGAUUUUACUUAAUUUUAAGUAUUAAUUUAAAGUAUUAAUUUUAAAUUUUUAAAGUAUUAAUUUAGUUUAAGUGCUUAAUUAAUAAUAUGAAAAUAUAUUAUAAUAGUUUCAAAUAUUUAGAUCUAAAAGUGUAUUAAAUUUACAUAUAUUCAAAAGUGUAGUUUUUAAGAAGUUCAAAUAAAGAUGUAGUUUUCAAUAAAAUCUCAUAUAAUUUUUAAACUUUUUUAUAAUCUCAAAUACAUAAAUCUCGCGUAGCCCAGUUAAAUGAUCUAGAAUAUUAUAUGGUUCAAAAUACGUAAGAUCAUUCAAUUUAUUUUUAUUUUAUAGAUUGAAUGAUUUAGAUUUGGAAAUAAAAUUAUAUGUAUAUUAAAAGACACUAAUUUGGUUAUUGUUUUAAAAUUUUAGAUACAAGUUUUGUUAAUGCAUGAAACAAAAAGUUUGACAUGCAUUUAAAAUUUUAAAGUGAGUAACAAAUUAUUUUGUAUGUAAUUGUAUGUAUGUUAUAUGAUCUUAAACUAUGUGUAACAUUAAUAUAAAUAUUUUAAACAAAAUGUGAGAAAUAUAUUAGAAAUAUACAUAUGUUCGCUAAUCUUCGGAUAUCCAUUCAAGUUUGGAUAUCCAACCUCUCCUAAUUCAAUACCGUUCCGGUAUUUUGUUACUUUGGGCUUUGUUUCUUUGUAUUAUUGACAAUUAGUUUUUCAAAUAGUUGAUAACUAAACCCAAAAGAUUAUAUAUUACUGCCAAAACAGUGAUUAAUGGAAGAGUAUCAUAUCUAAAGUAUCCGAAAAAUGAGAAAUUGCUUAAACUAUCAAACUCUUAAUAUCAUUUUUCAUAGGGUUUUUAGUAAUUAAACCCCUCAACUAAAAAUGAAUCGUAAAAAAAACCCUCAACUAAAAAUCUUGUGAAAUAAACCCUCAACUUUAGUUCCGUUAACAUAUGUUACCCUCCGUUUAAAAAACCGUGACGGAGGGUGACAUAUGUUAACGGUUUAUAAGUUGAGGGU